UUUCUGUGUGUUCUAUCUCUGAUCUAUGUGUCUAUUUAGUCAACGAAUAUUUAUCAAGGGCGUGAGCCACCACGCCAUGCCGGGACUUGGUCUUGUUCACAGGUCUAGAACAGUGCCUAACACAUAGCUGGGGCACAGUAAAUGCUGAGAGAAUGCAUGUGUUGUCGGGAGGUCACUUCUGAGGAGGCAAGUCUUAAACGAGGCUAGCAAGGAUGGUCAGCCGCUUCCAGAGCUUGGGAAGAGUGUUCUUGGUGGACGGAACAGUGUAGUCUUGUUGGUAACCACUUGCCUCUGGCUCUCUGUGCCUGGAGAAUAGUGUUUCUGUGUCUUUUUUGUUUGUAGUCUGUGAUCCUGGGAGCCCUGGGGCCAGUUUAAACAGGGCCCCAUCAGGGUCUCUGGAAGUGAGGUCACUGCCCAACAGAUUCACCCCACUGGCUAACUCUGGCUUAACUGGCUGGGCCUGGCCAUUCCCCUGGAAGCAACUCCUCCCCACAACAGCAUCAGUCCCACGACCUCUGGCUCCUUCCCAGGGCAGCAUCCUGCAGUCCGGAAGGAAGUUCUUCGUCCUGUCUAACCACAGACCCCGCUGAGGCAACCCCAGCCUUUUCCUCUUAUUCUGCCUUGUGGGCAGAAGGGAGGAGAUGGGCUGACCCUUCAGCAACGGGUCCUGGCCUAGACGGAGAGCCC
ensembl:lncRNA novel transcript